rnacentral:rRNA from 1 species
CCUACGGGAGGCUGCAGUCGAGAAUCAUUCACAAUGGGGGAAACUCUGAUGGUGCGACGCCGCGUGGGGGAAUGAAGGUCUUUGGAUUGUAAACCCCUGUCAUGUGGGAGCAAAUUAAAAAGAUAGUACCACAAGAGGAAGAGACGGCUAACUCUGUGCCAGCAGCCGCGGUAAUACAGAGGUAUCAAGCGGUGUUCGGAAUCAGUGGGCGUAAAGCGUGCGUAGGCUGUUUCGUAAGUCGUAUGUGAAAGGCGCGGGCUCAACACGGGGACGGCACAUGAUACUGGGAUACUAGAGUAAUGGUGGGGUAGGCGGAAUUCUCGGUGUAGCAGUGAAAUGCGGAGAUAGC